rnacentral:lncRNA from 1 species
AUCCAUCUUAAUUUCACAACCAGCAUUAAACUUAGUGAUUUUGCCGACUUCCUGGAUGUUCAUUUCUGGUUCUGCACAAAAGAGUCACAUUUCCUUUUGGAAUCAGGACCAGGAGACAGAAGCGGACUCGGGAACUGUGAGUGCCCCCCGGUCUUCCCCGGCGCCUCUGACCCCUUCCUCCAUCUCGCCGCCUUCCCUGCCUUCAGCGCGGAGUUCCCUUUCUCCAGGGCUUCUUGUCUGAACUCACCCCCUCGGCUCUCAGCACCAUUCUCCACUUUUAGGAAAAGAAACUCUACAAUUUCUAUGCAAACAUCGGAUAAGAAGGGGAGGGGGAGUGACUUUGAUUUUCAUUUUAAGACUCUGAAAGACGGAGAAAGUAAGCAGAAGCGGGCUGGUGUAUUUCAGAGGCUCCCAGUGAGUCCCUACUAAAUUUACCUAAUAAAAUGAAUUUUUAAAAUUUUCGUUUUCUCAUUUCAUUCCAGCAGAAAAUGAGUUUGCCUUUAUAAUGUCCAGAUCUUUCCAACUCUAUUGAGUGAGAAAUUAACUUACAAAAUUUAAAUACUUUGGUACACACAUGCAC